rnacentral:rRNA from 1 species
AACUGCGAAUGGCUCAUUAAAUCAGUUAUCGUUUAUUUGAUAGUACCUACCAACUACUUGGAUAACCGUGGUAAUUCUAGAGCUAAUACAUGCUAAAAACCCCGACUUCGGGAGGGGUGUAUUUAUUAGAUAAAAAACCAAUGCCCCUCGGGGCUUCUUGGUGAUUCAUGAUAACUUAACGGAUCGCAUGGCCUUGCGCCGGCGACGGUUCAUUCAAAUUUCUGCCCUAUCAACUUUCGAUGGUAAGGUAUUGGCUUACCAUGGUUUCAACGGGUAACGGGGAAUUAGGGUUCGAUUCCGGAGAGGGAGCCUGAGAAACGGCUACCACAUCCAAGGAAGGCAGCAGGCGCGCAAAUUACCCAAUCCCGACACGGGGAGGUAGUGACAAUAAAUACUGAUACAGGGCUCUUUUGGGUCUUGUAAUCGGAAUGAGUACAAUUUAAACCCCUUAACGAGGAACAAUUGGAGGGCAAGUCUGGUGCCAGCAGCCGCGGUAAUUCCAGCUCCAAUAGCGUAUAUUAAAGUUGUUGCAGUUAAAAAGCUCGUAGUUGAACCUUGGGCCUGGCUGGCCGGUCCGCCUCACCGCGUGUACUGGUCCGGCCGGGCCUUUCCUUCUGGAGAACCGCAUGCCCUUCACUGGGUGUGUCGGGGAACCAGGACUUUUACUUUGAAAAAAUUAGAGUGUUCAAAGCAGGCCUUUGCUCGAAUACGUUAGCAUGGAAUAAUAGAAUAGGACGUGCGGUCCUAUUUUGUUGGUUUCUAGGACCGCCGUAAUGAUUAAUAGGGAUAGUCGGGGGCAUCAGUAUUCAAUUGUCAGAGGUGAAAUUCUUGGAUUUAUUGAAGACUAACUACUGCGAAAGCAUUUGCCAAGGAUGUUUUCAUUAAUCAGUGAACGAAAGUUAGGGGAUCGAAGACGAUCAGAUACCGUCGUAGUCUUAACCGUAAACUAUGCCGACUAGGGAUCGGGCGAUGUUUCUAUCUUGACUCGCUCGGCACCUUACGAGAA